rnacentral:rRNA from 1 species
AACGAACGCUGGCGGCAGGCUUAACACAUGCAAGUCGAGCGCAUCCUUCGGGGUGAGCGGCAGACGGGUGAGUAACGCGUGGGAAUCUACCUUUUGCUACGGAAUAGCUCCGGGAAACUGGAAUUAAUACCGUAUGUGCCCUUAGGGGGAAAGAUUUAUCGGCAAGAGAUGAGCCCGCGUUGGAUUAGCUAGUUGGUGGGGUAAAGGCCUACCAAGGCGACGAUCCAUAGCUGGUCUGAGAGGCUGAUCAGCCACAUUGGGACUGAGACACGGCCCAAACUCCUACGGGAGGCAGCAGUGGGGAAUAUUGGACAAUGGGCGCAAGCCUGAUCCAGCCAUGCCGCGUGAGUGAUGAAGGCCUUAGGGUUGUAAAGCUCUUUCACCGGAGAAGAUAAUGACGGUAUCCGGAGAAGAAGCCCCGGCUAACUUCGUG